ACAUCAAGGCUAUUCUCUGGACCGUGCAAACAGUCUAGACCAAUGACCUGCAGCAUCAUGUCCUUUGAAGAAGAGGCAAGUUCGGUCAUGAUGAAGAAAAAUCAAGGCGUACCCCUUUUAACAAUAGGGAGCAGCUCGAGGCUGCAAAGAGGAGCUCUUUCUGAGAUGAAGAGAAUUCUCAAUGUCAAGAUUUGAACAAGAAGAGAAUGGAAUACACAAUAUGGACAUCCAUAAAAAUUCAUCAGAGAGCAUUUUACUACUGAGCUGCAAAGAUGACAAGAGCACCUCAAAGGCAGCAGCCUCAAGGAGCAGCCAUGGCCCCAGACUUGUCGCACGGAUGCAGAAAACUUAAUGGAGGAGGCUGAGUUAGGAACCUGGAGCAGACUGAACCUUUGGACAAAAUGAUGCCGUUAUUAUGAAAACAGAAAAGCAUAGACCAGGUGUGGUGGCAUAUGCCUAUAAUCCUAGCACUUUGGGAGGCUGAGGUGGUUGGAUCACUUGAGGUCAGGAGGUCAAGACCAGCCUGGCCAACACAGCAAAACCCCGUCUCUAUUAAAACUACAAAAAUUAGCCUGAAAUGGUGGUGGACACCUGUAGUCCCAGCUACUUUGGAGGCUGAGGCAGGAGAAUCGCUUGAACCCGGAGGCAGAGGUUGCAGUGAGCUGAGAUUGUACCACUGCACUCCAACCUGGGCGACAGAGUGAGACUCUGUCUCAAAUAAAUAAAUAAAUAAAUAAAUAAAUAAAUAAAAUCAUAGCUGUAGGCAACUUCAAGCUUAUAAUUUUGCAGAGCAAUAGCAGUAAGAUACUCUGUACAAAGUUAAGUCAAGGAUUAUUGCACAUCUCAUAUGAUGGGAUUCUUUUUUUAAAAGUUUUAUUUUAUUGUAGUAAGAAUACUUAGCAUGAGAUCUACACUCAACAGGUUUUCUAAGUGUACUGUUUAUUAUCACUGAUGAUAGGCACAACAUUGUACAGCAGAUUUCUAGAGUUUAUUCAUCUUGCUUAACUAAAACUUUAUGCCCAUUGAAUAGUAACUCCCCAUUUCCCCUUUCCCCCGCUUCUGACAACACGAUUACCCUUUGGUUCUACAAAUUUGACUAUUUUAGAUACAUCAUGUAAGCGGAAGCAGAAAGUGUUUGUCUUUCUUUGACUAGCUUAUUUCACUUAGCAUAGUGUCGUCCAGGUCAUCAAUGUCAUCCCACACUGCAGAAUCGCCUUUUUUUUUUUUAAUGGCUAAAUAGUAUUUCAUUGUGUAUACGUUUUUUUAUCCAUUUCACCUAUUGAUGGGCAUUAAGGGUGUUUCCACAUCUUGGCUGUUGUGCAUACUCCUGCAUUGUGCUAUUCAUGGGAGUGCUAAUAUCUCUUUGGGAUCUUGAUUUCAAUUCUUUUGGAUAUACAGCCAAAAGCGAUAUUGCUGGAUCAUAUGGUAACUUUUUUUUUCAAUAGUUUUAGGGGUACAGUGGUUUUUGGCUACAUGGAUGAAUUAUAUGGUGGUGCAGUCUAGGCUUUUAGUGUAUCUGUCACCUGAUUAGUGUACAUCGUACCCAAUAUGUAAUUUUUAACCCUCACUCCUCUAGUUUUAUUUAUAUAUAUAAAUACAAUUUUUUUGAAAUGGAGUUUCUCUCUUGUCACCCAGGCUGGAGUGCAAUGACGCAAUCUCAGCUCACUGCAACCUCUGCCUCCCAGGUUCGAGCGAUUCUCCUGCCUCGGCCUCCCGAGUAGCUGGGAUUACAGGCACCUGCCACCACGCCUGGCUAAUUUUUUUGUAUUUUUAGUAGAGAUCGGGUUUCACCAAUUUGGCUGGUCUCGACUCCUGGCUGGUCUCGACUCCUGACCUCAGGUGAUCCACCUACCUCGGCCUCUCAAAGUGUUGGAGUUACAAGCAUGGGCCACCGCACCCGGCCUAUUUAUAAUUUUUUGAGGAAACUUUGUACUUUUUCCCAUAGCUGUACCAUUUUGCAUUUCCACCUACAGUGUUCAAGAGUUCCAGUUUCUCCACAUCCUUACCAAUACUUGUCUUUUUUUUUUUUUAAUAGCCAUCCUGGCAGAUGUAAGGUGAUAUUUCAUCACAGUUUUGAUUUGCAUUUCCCUGAUAACUAAUGACAUUGGACUUUUUUUUAUAUAUCUGCUGGCCACCUGUAUGUCUUCUUUGGAGAAACAUCUAUUCAAGUUUCUAGUUCAUUUUUAAAUUGGAUUAUUUGCUUUUUGCUAUUGAGUUGUUUGAGUUCCUUAUCUAUUUUGAAGCUUAACCCUAUAUCAAAUGGGAUUCUUAUAUUUUUGUUUCAUAUUUUGUAAUAUAUCAGGUCCAUGAAAUUAGCUAUCUUAAGUAAGUUGCUUUUGUGUUGUUUCUUAUGACAAUUCUGAUUAGAAUAUUAAUACAAACGUGAAAUGCAGCUUUUACCAACAAAUGGGCUAGUUUUUAUUGAAUCAAUAAAACCCAUAUUUUGAGAGUUUUACUCAAAAGAACCUAAAAUUCAGUUGAAUAUAAAGAAAUGGGGUUGUUUGUUUUUUUCUUGUAAAUUUGUUUGAGUUCAUUGUAGAUUCUGGAUAUUAGCCCUUUGUCAGAUGAGUAGGUUGCGAAAAUUUUCUCCCAUUUUGUAGGUUGCCUGUUCACUCUGAUGGUAGUUUCUUUUGCUGUGCAGAAGCUCUUUAGUUUAAUUAGAUCCCAUUUGUCAAUUUUGGCUUUUGUUUCCAUUGCUUUUGGUGUUUUAGACAUGAAGUCCUUGCCCAUGCCUAUGUCCUGAAUGGUAAUGCCUAGGUUUUCUUCUAGGGUUUUUAUGGUUUUAGGUCUAACGUUUAAGUCUUUAAUCCAUUUUGAAUUAAUUUUUGUAUAAGGUGGGCGAAGGACAUGAACAGACACUUCUCAAAAGAAGACAUUUAUGCAGCCAAAAAAUACAUGAAAAAAUGCUUACCAUCACUGGCCAUCAGAGAAAUGCAAAUCAAAACCACAAUGAGAUACCAUCCCACACCAGUUAGAAUGGCAAUCAUUAAAAAGUCAGGAAACAACAGGUGCUGGAGAGGAUGUGGAGAACUAGGAACACUUUUACACUGUUGGUGGGACUGUAAACUAGUUCAACCAUUGUGGAAGUCAGUGUGGCGAUUCCUCAGGGAUCUAGAACUAGAAAUACCAUUUGACCCAGCCAUCCCAUUACUGGGUAUAUACCCAAAGGACUAUAAAUCAUGCUGCUAUAAAGACACAUGCACAUGUAUGUUUAUUGUGGCACUAUUCACAAUAGCAAAGACUUGGAACCAACCCACAUGUCCAACAAUGAUAGACUGGAUUAAGAAAAUGUGGCACAUAUACACCAUGGAAUACUAUGCAGCCAUAACAAAGGAUGAGUUCAUGUCCUUUGUAGGGACAUGGAUGAAAUUGGAAAUCAUCAUUCUCAGUAAACUAUCGCAAGGACAAAAAACCAAACACCGCAUGUUCUCACUCGUAAGUGGGAAUUGAACAAUGAGAACACAUGGACACAGGAAGGGGAACAUCACACUCUGGGGACUGUUGUGGGGGGGGGAGAUGGGGGAGGGAUAGCAUUAGGAGAUAUACCUAAUGCUAAAUGACGAGUUAAUGGGUGCAGCACACCAGCAUGGCACAGGUAUACAUAUGUCACUAACCUGCACAUUCUGCACAUGUACCCUAAAACUUAAAGUAUAAUAAUAAUAAAAUAAAUAAUUUUAAAAAAAAGGCCAACUUGUGAAGCUAAAACCAGCAAAAAAAAAAAAAAAGUGUUAUUCAAGAGUAAGAAUGAAAUAAAGAUUUGUUUUUGGAUAAACAAAAAAAAAAGAAAGAAAGAAAUGGCAAUUACUUAGAGAGGCUUGGAAGGUAUAUUUCAGAAACCGAUGUGACAGCACUUACUGAUAAUUACAGUGUUAAAAAAAAAGUUUCUGUUUUGAAUGUUCAUGUAAAUUUGCAUUAAAUUUAAUUGUUGUCAAA
ensembl:lncRNA MIR99AHG mir-99a-let-7c cluster host gene